rnacentral:rRNA from 1 species
GAUGAACGCUGGCGGCGUGCCUAAUACAUGCAAGUCGAGCGAACAGACGAGGAGCUUGCUCCUCUGACGUUAGCGGCGGACGGGUGAGUAACACGUGGAUAACCUACCUAUAAGACUGGGAUAACUUCGGGAAACCGGAGCUAAUACCGGAUAAUAUAUUUAACCGCAUGGUUCAAUAGUGAAAGACGGUUUUGCUGUCACUUAUAGAUGGAUCCGCGCCGCAUUAGCUAGUUGGUAAGGUAACGGCUUACCAAGGCGACGAUGCGUAGCCGACCUGAGAGGGGGAUCGGCCACACUGGAACUGAGACACGGUCCAGACUCCUACGGGAGGCAGCAGUAGGGAAUCUUCCGCAAUGGGCGAAAGCCUGACGGAGCAACGCCGCGUGAGUGAUGAAGGUCUUCGGAUCGUAAAACUCUGUUAUUAGGGAAGAACAAAUGUGUAAGUAACUAUGCACGUCUUGACGGUACCUAAUCAGAAAGCCACGGCUAACUACGUG